GACCGCGUAGCUCAGUUGGCAUGCAGAGCCGGCAUUGGGCUGGUAUCCCAAAGAUCGUAGGUUCGAAUCCCACCGUGGCCA